rnacentral:rRNA from 1 species
UACGUAGGGUGCGAGCGUUGUCCGGAAUUAUUGGGCGUAAAGAGCUCGUAGGCGGUUUGUCGCGUCGACUGUGAAAACCUACAGCUUAACUGUGGGCUUGCAGUCGAUACGGGCAGACUAGAGUGUGGUAGGGGAGACUGGAAUUCCUGGUGUAGCGGUGAAAUGCGCAGAUAUCAAGAGGAACACCUGCGGCGAAGGCGGGUUGCUGGGCCGACACUGACGCUGAGGCGCGAAAGCCAGGGGAGCGAACGGG